AUUGAACGCUGGCGGCAGGCCUAACACAUGCAAGUCGAACGGUAACAGGAAGCAGCUUGCUGCUUCGCUGACGAGUGGCGGACGGGUGAGUAAUGUCUGGGAAACUGCCUGAUGGAGGGGGAUAACUACUGGAAACGGUAGCUAAUACCGCAUAACGUCGCAAGACCAAGGAGGGGGACCUUAGGGCCUCUUGCCAUCGGAUGUGCCCAGAUGGGAUUAGCUAGUAGGUGGGGUAACGGCUCACCUAGGCGACGAUCCCUAGCUGGUCUGAGAGGAUGACCAGCCACACUGGAACUGAGACACGGUCCAGACUCCUACGGGAGGCAGCAGUGGGGAAUAUUGCACAAUGGGCGCAAGCCUGAUGCAGCCAGGCCGCGUGUAUGAAGAAGGCCUUCGGGUUGUAAAGUACUUUCAGCGGGGAGGAAGGGAGUAAAGUUAAUACCUGUGCUCAUUGACGUUACCGCAGAAGAAGCACCGGCUAACUCCGUG
rnacentral:rRNA from 1 species